UUAAAUAAAAUCGGUGUUGUUGCUGCCUUUCGUGGUGACGCGUCGGAGUUGGGUCGUCUUAACCUUCGGCUAAGUGACUUAAAAUUUUGCAUGAUUUUCGAACGUAUUUAAAUUGCUUACGUACGUUUGGGAUAUCGAAUGUUUAUUAGGUUCGGUCAUCCUCAUGACUCGCGCCUAUAAUUUUUUCAUU
rnacentral:misc_RNA from 1 species